UUUUUAUUUUUUGGGUUUUGCCUAAGUGGGAGCGGUGGAGGGGGGGGGAGAGGUGAUGCAGCCAUGGAAGGAAGAAGCCAAGAUCAAGUGGGCCUGCUAGGGUAUACAGGGUCCUCCCUUAUUUGUGGAAGUACAUCUUAAGAUCCCUAGUGGAUGCCUGAAGUUACAGAUGGCACGGGACCCUAUAUAUAUAGUUACAAAAUCUUAACUUACCCAUUAGACACAAGGGAGUGAUAAUAAGAACAGAGAAACAGGAAAAUAAUAACAUACUCUAGCAAAACUUAUUUAAGUCAAUUGCUUACUUCUAGAAUUUUCUACUUAGUGUUCAUAGGCCACAACAGCCGAAACUUUUUAAAAGUAAAACUGCAGGUAAAGUACCAGAAUGAGUAAGAUAAGAAUAAACACAUAUGAAAAUUCCAUAAUAAACACCAUUAUCAUGUAUAGUUGACUAAAGACUAAAAUAUAUUAUUUCAGAGAUUCCUGGAUUAAAGUGUACUCAGCUUUGGUCUGUGUCUUCCUGUUUCUACCUCCUCUUUACCUCCUAAUCUCUACAGUAGAGAUGGUAAUACUGCCCAAUGGCAUUGAUAUUUAAGUUGGCAUUAAGAGUGACUAUGAACAUGAUACAGUACUCGGCACAAAACAAGCAUUCACAUGAUAUUUUAAAUAAUCUAGCACAUAGUUGAAAAAAUAUGUUAGCAAAGAGUUGUGAGGAACACCACAUACUCCAAGGAGUUUCACAGUGAGGGAGUUCAAUAUUCUUAUUACCCACGUGUGUAUUUGAUAUUCGGGAUGCUACACUUUCAAAACCCAGAAAUCAGUGCCGCUCAAUCAGCGCCAUUCAGUGCCUUAUCAGAUUCCACCAGGUGGUCAGCAGAGCUAAGAAUCAGUGCCAGGGGGUUUCCGUGUGACACUUUUCAGAGAACCAAUUUGUUUUCAGCCUCUGAGAUAUGGGGUGGGAAUGCAGUCGGUAGCAAGUCCUGAGUAACAGUGGCCACUCUGCCACCUUCUGGGUGCAUGAGGAAGGCAGUGGUCUGCUGACCCGGACAGUAAGGUCUGAAUCAGGCUUCCAGUAUGACUCAGCCCUCCUUCCCUGAGCCUAUUUUCGCAAAGGCUGUCAAGAUGUUCACAUGCAAGACGUUCGGCGAUGAAGGAUCUGAGUGAUUUCUGGAAAUAGCUCCGCUGGGUUAUUCCAGUGCAAGUAUCCAAUGUAAUCAGAUUCGCU
rnacentral:lncRNA from 1 species